ACGCUGGUUUUGUAAACCAGUAAUGAAAAAANNCCUUUUUCUCAGGACA
rnacentral:tRNA from 1 species